GGCUUCGUAGCUCAGCUGGUAGAGCGCUUACCGCAUGUAGGCAUGCUGUUUCCGUCGCUAGUUCGAAUCCAGCCAAAGCCC